rnacentral:rRNA from 1 species
GACGAACGCUGGCGGCGUGCUUAACACAUGCAAGUCGAACGAAGUAGCAAUACUUAGUGGCGAACGGGUGCGUAACACGUGACUAACUUGCCCUAGACUGUGGAAUAACGGAGGGAAACUUCCGCUAAUACCGCAUGUUGAGCUUUGGUGGCAUCACCGGGGCUUGAAAGAUUUAUCGGUCUAGGAUAGGGUCGCGGCCUAUUAGCUUGUUGGUGAGGUAAUGGCUCACCAAGGCAACGAUGGGUAGCUGGUCUGAGAGGAUGAUCAGCCACACUGGGACUGAGAUACGGCCCAGACUCCUACGGGAGGCAGCAGUGAGGAAUAUUGCCCAAUGGGCGAAAGCCUGACGCAGCAACGCCGCGUGAAGGAUGAAGGUGCUCUGCAUUGUAAACUUCUGUAGGGAGGGAAGAAUGACCUGCUAUUGGCGGGUUUGACGGUACCUCCAAAGUAAGCACCGGCUAAUUCCGUGCCAGCAGCCGCGGU